CUACCUUAAUGUAAGCAUUAGUGGUUGUUUCGACGGCUCGAACCCCUGACCUAUAUGUCACAUGAAGACAACUUUACCGUUGCUCCAAGACUCCCCUUCAGAUCACCGAAAAGUACAACUAACAAAUAACCUUGUAAAUUUACAUUGAUAGUCAAUGGUAGAUGCAACUUAUUAUGUAUUGGUUCAACUGAACUUGUAUCUCCUCAAGGAACAUGGAUCUAAUAUAUAUAUGUAAAUCACUAAAAUUUUAAUAAAUAUUAUAUUCUGAAUCUAAAAUUUCAAAUGUAUACUAACGUCGGUGCUAAGAAUUUUGAAGGUCAAAUCUAUAAAGUUUAAAUCAUGAAUCCACAAUUACUUGAUAGUGUAUACUCCACUUAUUGUAACAUGAUUACAAUGAACAUUUGCAACUGCAGGCUGAUUGGAGGACGAUACUGAGUCUAGCAUUUCAGUCCGUAGGAGUUAUCUAUGGAGACAUAGGGACUUCACCUCUCUACGUUUAUGCAAGUACUUUUACUGAUAAAAUUGGACACAAAGAUGACAUUCUAGGGGUGUUGUCCCUCAUCAUAUAUACCAUAAUCCUCGUACCUAUGACUAAGUAUGUCUUCAUUGUCUUAUGGGCCAACGACAAUGGCGAUGGUAAGUUACAAUAUGUCUCCUCUCUGUGAUCGACUAUUUCUGUUUCAUUUUAUGCGAUACUAUUUCAUUCCGUUAAAAGAACGACACCAAUUUAUAUUUUAAACCUCUUUAUCUUUAAAUUUUUUAUUUUACGCUCUUAUAAUCAUAAAGAUAUCAUGACAUAUUUAAUACGACAACUUUCAAAGGUACUUUUGGGAUGUACCCAGAGGCGGGCUUCUUAGUUUAUGGGUUUUAGAUUCAAGAAAAAUAUAGCUUGCAGGGUUAUUAAUUAUUUAUAUAUAUUAAGUGAAAUUUAACACAAAUACAAGGAUAUGAUAAAAAAUUAUUGGGUUCUGCCGAACCUGCAAGUAAUAUGCUAGUCCCUCCCCUGGAUGUACUAAAUUUUUUCCUCAGCCUAAACUUCAUGCCCAGUCAAGAUCAUAAGGAAUUAGUUAAUUUGUUCUUUUAAGUAUCUCCUCUUUACAUAUUUUGUUUGCUUCUUUAAUUUGCAUGCAGGGGGAGCAUUUGCGUUGUAUUCUUUAGUAUGUCGAUAUGCAAAAGUGAGUCUCAUCCCAAACCAAGAGCCAGAGGACAGAGAACUUUCACAUUACAAUCUAGAGCUACCAUCUAAUCAAUUUAGACGAGCUCAGAAGAUCAGACAUAAUUUGGAAAAGAGUAAAUUGGCAAAAAUAUUUCUUGUCUUCGUCGCCAUCCUCGGAACUUCUAUGGUCAUUGGUGAUGGAGUUCUCACUCCUUGCAUCUCAGGUCUCUAAUUAAAUACUUACUGAACAUAUACUUCAUCAUAUAUACUCGUAGAUUUAUUAUCAUUUCACGCUAUAUAUGAUCGAUAGAGUUUAAUGUGGUGCUUUCUCAUGCAGUUCUCUCUGCCGUAAGUGGAAUAAAGCCCCUAGGCCAAGGUAAUUAAUACUCCCUUUUGUUUCAACUUGUUUGAACCUUUUUAGAGUAGGAGGGUCAAAUUGACCAAUUUUUGGAUGAAUCCAAACAUAGAUUCUUUAGGUUUAUUAAAAUAUAUUUUUGUUAUAAUUAAAAACUACAUAAAAAGUACUAUGGGUUACAACAAUUAACAAUUCAAAAUAUUUAAAAACUAUUUGCAAAAAACAUAGUCAACAAAAACUUAAUUUGACUCCCCAAAUAGUAAUAGGUUCAUUCUUUGUUAAAUGGAGGGAAUAAUCUAUUGCAAAAUUUUGCAACGCCCGUCUUUUUUGGCGACCCCCUAAUCGCCUAUCUAUAGUACUACAAAUUUGUCGCAAACUGGAUUUCCGGAUGGAGUUGUCAAUCACAAAUAUAGCAAAUUUUUGUAUGUAACGGUAUUCUAAAGAAUUAUUCCCUUCGUUUAUUUAAUGUGACACUAUUUUUUUAUUCAUCCAUUAAAAAACACUUAUUAGUAUAUAUUUAAAAAUAAUUAAGUUUGAACUCCUCAUUUAUCGUUAAUGGCAUUAUAGUAUGAAAAAUCUCAUGACAUAUUUAAGACCAUAAGUGUUAAAAUCUUUUUUUUAAAACUUCGUGUCUAAUCAAACUAUGCCACAAAAAUUGAAACCGAAGGAGUAUUUUUCUCUCCCUCUUCCCUUUUUUUUUUUUUUUGGUUUUGGUGAUUGAACAACUAAUGGAUAAAGAUUUAUUGCAGAGGCUAUUGUGGGUGUUUCCAUCGCAAUACUGGUAGCCCUUUUCUGUGUUCAACGAUUGGGUACAGACAAGGUGGGAUAUACAUUUGCUCCAGCCAUUUGCAUUUGGUUUUUGUUUAUAAGUGGCAUUGGCCUCUACAAUUUGUUCAAGUAUGAUGUGAGCGUUUUACGUGCCUUUAAUCCCAAAUACAUUAUUGACUACUUCAAAAGAAACGGUACAAAAGGAUGGAUGUCUCUUGGUGGAGUUUUCCUCUGCAUUACAGGUUACAAUUCUAUUUACACUAUUAGUAUAAUUUAAUUUAGCUAGUUAUUGAAUGUAUUUGUCAUAUUUGAGAUUACAAAUCUAAACUUAUUUUCAUCCGUUGAAUGACUUCUUUUGAAACUUCGCAGGAUCCGAAGCUAUGUUUGCUGAUUUGGGUCACUUCAGUGUGCGUUCUAUUCAAGUAAGUCUUGUUCAAUUUUUUUUUCUUUCUUUCCAAGUCUAGCUUCCUGACAGUAACAUACUUAGUAUUUGAACAAUCUUUUGUCUUAAUUCGACUUGUACGCAAAUUUUGAUAUUAAACUGUCGAGUUUUAAGGCUCUACUUUCUAUUCUAAAGUAAUGUCUACAAAAGUACUAAGAUUACUCGUGUAAUUUAUAACAUAGUCUAUGUAACAUUAGUUGAUUAAGAAAUUUCCUAAUAGAAAACAUGGACAAAUAAGAUUUGUAUAUGGACAGUAACCCAAAGUUGGACAAGUGAAACCUCCAUAAUUGAAGAAAUUUAAUUUUUCUUUAAUGAGGAUGUUUGAGAUGGAUGUGCAGGCAUACUAGGAACGACAAGAUUAGGAAUGAAGUUAUUAGGGACAAGGUAGGUGUGACAUCUGUGGAGGACAAGUUGCGGGAAUCAAGGCUGAGGUGGUUCGGGCAUGUGAGGAGAGACCUGGAUGCUCCGGUGAGGAGGUGUGAGAGGUUGUCCAUGGCUGGUCUGAGGAAGGGAAGAGGUAGGCCUAAGAAGUAUUGGGGUGAGGUAAUUAGGCAGGACAUGUCAUUGCUUCAGCUUACCGAGGACAUGACCCACGAUAGGAAGGUGCAGAGGUCGAAGAUUAGGGUUGUAGGUUGACAGAUUAGUAGUGUGUUCCUCCUAGGCCAUUCAAUAGUACUAGGACUAUUUUUGUAAUUUUCUAUUUAUGGUUCUUUAUUUCGCAUGUUGCGGCAUUCGCACACGUUACUAUGUUACACUGUUACUAACAUUCUUUGCUACUUGGUGCUUUAUUUUCAUUAUUUCUUGAGCCGAGGGUCUAUCGGAAGCAGCCUCUCUAUCUCUAUAAGGUAGGGGUAAGGCCUGCGUACACACUACCCUCCUCAGACCCCAUUUAUGGGAUCAAACUGGGCUUAUUGUUGUUUUAUUUGUUAUUCUUUUUAUAUUUUGUUGUCAAUCGAAGUGAACUCACCAUGUCUAUAUAUGUAAUGCAGUUAAGCUUCAGUUGCCUCGUAUUUCCAGCAUUGCUCUCAGCUUACAGUGGACAGGCUGCUUACCUCUCAAAAUUCCCUGAAGAUGUUGAGAAUACUUUCUAUGCCUCCAUCCCAGGCAAGUAGAAAUUUAUUAACCCUUUCAACUUUAAUAUAGUCCACGACAAAGAAAUCUUGAGAACAGAGGAGCAGUAUACGAUUAUAUACCAUCCCAAUAUUAACUACUUUGUAUAUAUAACACUUUAUAUCACAAGUUAUUUACUCUUUUUCCAAAUUGAAAAGCAUUUACUUCCUCUAUUCCAAUAUUUGUGACACUAUUUCUUUAUAUAAAAUGAUAAAAUCCUAUAUUUGAAAAUAUUUAACUUAAAACUUUUAUUUUACCCUUAAUGAAAAACUUUUAUCGCCACACAAAUUUAUAACAUGUUUAAUAAAGAUUACAAGUUUCAAAAGUCUUCUAUUCUUUCUUCAAUUCCAUAUCCAGUCAAACUACGUCACAUAAAUUAUAACAAAGGUAUUGAUAGUAGUUGUUAUAGCAAGUCAAUUUUUAACCUGAUGGUGUAAAAUAAUUAGUAUGCACUACUAUCAGUGCAAAAAAACUAAACUCAUAGGGUUCGUUUGAUACGAAGGAUAAGGGAUAAUUAAUCUCGGGAUUAAAUUUGAAAUGAGCUUAUCCCAUGUUUGGUUGGGAUGAAAUUGCAUAUCCCUAUGGGACGAUGGAAUAACUAAUCCCGGGAUAACUUGUUUCCAACCAAACGACCCAUAGAAAUUAUGUUCUUAAGUGAUAGAGCAAGCCACAUAUAACGGAACACCACUCAUUAUUUGGUUUGUUGGUGCUACUUACAGAUCCUUUGUACUGGCCAACAUUUGUAGUGGCUGUUGCUGCAGCCAUUAUUGCAAGUCAAGCAAUGAUAUCUGGAACCUUUUCUAUUGUGGCUCAGGCCCAAGGUCUAGGCUGUUUCCCAAGGGUGAAGGUAAUUCACACAUCUGCCAAACAUGAGGGUCAAGUUUACAUCCCAGAGUUGAACUACUUCCUCAUGAUCGCAUGUGUUCUAGUUACUCUCAGCUUCAAAACCACAGAAAAAUUGGGGCAUGCUUAUGGUAUAGCUGUGGUUACUGCUGAGAUUAUAACCACAAAUAUGGUGACACUAGUAAUGCUUGUUAUAUGGAAAAUCAGCAUAUGGUGGAUUACCCUAUUCUACGUGGUGUACUUUUCCAUAGAAUCUACAUAUUUUUCUGCCCAGCUGACAAAAUUCACGCAAGGUGGUUAUCUACCCUUAGCCUUUUCAGCCGUGCUCGUGAUCAUUAUGGGAACUUGGCACUAUGCUCAAAAACUUCGAUACCAAUUCGAGCUCAAUAACAAGGUGUCAAGUGAGUACGUCAGGGACUUGGCUAAUAAUCCUGACAUCAAAAGAGUACCUGGAAUAGGAUUACUCUACUCUGAACUAGUGCAGGGAAUUCCACCUAUAUUUCCUCAUUUUGUCAACAAUAUUCCGUCAGUCCAUUCAGUCAUAGUCCUGGUGUCGAUAAAAUCCAUUCCCAUCAGUAAAGUAGCACUACAGGAACGUUUCUUGUUCCGACACGUUGAGCCAAGAGAAUACAAUGUGUUCCGCUGUGUAGUUAGGUUGGGAUACAAAGAUCAACUUGGGGAUACAGAGGACUUUGAAAACCAAUUGGUGGAACAAUUGAAUGAGUUCAUUAGACAUGAACAUUACAUUCUUGCAGCAGAUCAACAAGUAAUAACAGAUGGAGAGAUUGUACCACCAGUAUCUGGACAAUUAGUGUCCGGAAAAUCAUCCAGGGUCCACAUGGAGGAAGACUUACAGCGACAAGUGGAUUCUAGAGUUUCGUCAACUGGUUCAAUUCGAUCAAUGAACACUCCAGCAGCACAGUCCAAUCGUUCAUCAAGUAGAAUACAAAUGGUGUCCCCAAAUUUGGAAGAAGAAGAGAUGCAAUUUGUGAAAAAGGCAAAGGGACAAGGAGUGUUCUAUCUCCUGGGAGAAGCAGAGGUGGUGGCUAGACAAGAUGCUUCGUUCUUGAAGAAAGCAUUUGUCAACUAUGGCUAUAAUUUCUUGCGCAAGAACUUCAGGCAAGGGGACAAAGCUAUGGCUAUUCCUCAAACUAGGCUGCUAAGGGUCGGCAUGACUUAUGAAUUAUAAUUGUGACCUAGCUACUCCAAAAUCAUUCAGUGAAAGUGUACUAUCAAAUACUCGCAUAACAAACAAAGUGAUUUACAUGAUUUCUUGCAGUUUGUAUAUCUUUACAUUUUUAUCCUUUAAUGUUUGCAAGCUUUCAGUUUGAGUUUGAGUAAUUUAACUGUAUUGUUUCAAACUUGUUUGGAAAUGUAUUACAUACUCCUUCUCUACCCUCGAUUCCAAGUUCCAACUUGUUUGACACUAAAUUUAUCUGAUGAGAUCAAACAUUUUUCUACUAUUACAACUUUAUCAAUAGCAGAAAGAAUGACCUAAGUCGCUCGAAACUCCUUCAAAAGCAAACACCUAACAGUAUAAUUAAGCACUACUGGAAAAGCAAAUUUUCAUCAGUGUUAUAAAAGAGACAUGCACACUUAGAACUCCAUAUAAAGAGACUAAGAGUAACCAGUCCUUCCUUCCCAUGAAUCAUAAAGCCAAGAGUUCGUUUUAUCUCCCAAAUUUCGUCUAACAAUGGAACCUAAACCAAGAACUUAUGGUGCUCGCACUGCUUGUAAAGAAAUUUAAAGCUGAAUCAUCAUAGGAUUGUCCUGACGUUGAAGGAGGAAACUAAAUCAGGAAAUGAAUUCACAUGAAUCAUCUUUUCAGCAUCAUAUAGAGUCAAGUAAAUCAAAUUUAUUAGGCUGCUCAUGUUCAUGUCCAAAGUAGUAGAAGAAAACGUAGAAAAGGGGAGAGAUUUCAGUGAACAGAAAAUAAUGAUGAAUGACAUAAGCCGGAUGUAUUCUAGACAUCAAAUAAGGAGGGAAAAAAAGCAAAAAAAAUUGAGAAAAUAGACAAGUGUAGAGGAAGAAAAUGAUAGACAAAGGAGGAAAGGAAAGAGAUUCAAGAAAAUAAAUAGAUGAUAAUAAUGCUGAAUAACAUAAAUAGGAUAUAAUUAAUGUUGUUCCAAAUUUUGUAGACAUCAAAUUAGGAGAAAAAAAAAAGCAACAAAAUGAGAAAAUAGAUAAAUGUAGUUGAAGAAAACGGUAGACAAAGGAGUAAAGGGGAGAGAUUUCAGGAAAAGAAAUAAAUGAUACCCCUAAUGAGGAAUGACAUAAAUAGGAUGUAUUUAAUUUGUGCAGAUUUUCUAGACAUCAAAUUAGGAGAAAAAGCAAAGUAAUGAGGGAAAAGUAUUUAAGUACUAUUUUAUCUAAGUUCAAUGAUCUGCACAUUUUAGUCUUUUCCUUUUCCAUGUCUUUACAUAUUCCAAGUUAAUUAAAAGAGGGAAAACUAUUAAAUCCUGACCUUUGAUUUACAUAUAUAUAAGAUUUAGAUUACAUAGAUUAGAGAUUAGAUUAUAGUUUCUGCAAGUACAAAGUAUUAGGGAUGAAGGGAAUUUGGGCUAGUGUCUGAGUUUUCUGAAGGCUUAUAAAGAGCAAAACUGGUGACUGGCAAAGCAAAAACAAAGAGAAAAGAAGCCCUUUUGUGAAUCGAAAUGGCGAGCGCAGAUAGUGAUCUUCAUACAGAAGAGGUUGCAGAAAACAAGAGAAACAACGGGCAGCUAAAAGGUCGCAAAGUCUCAUGGGCGAAGUUAUACCGUGUGGACUCCCUCAACUUGGAAGCUGGAAAAGUGUCAAAUUCUCUGGCUGGACAUGCCUCUAAGGUAUGGAUUUGUAAUUGGUGUCAGUGACAGAACUUGGAAUUUUAAUAAGGGAAUUCAAGAAAAUACAAGAAUUUCACAAAAGAAAAUCAAACUUGUGACCUAAAGCAGUUUUCGAGCCACCUUUGCCACUUCAGCGCACUACAAAAAAAAAAUCAGCUAAAAAAUUUGUUGGUAACUAUUGUUAAAUAACCGUAGUUAACAGGUUUUUUGCAUCGCUGAUCCGUCGUUAAAUAAGAUUAGCGAUGACAGAUUAGCAAUGGAUUUAUACUGUUUAGCGAUAGAAUGUGUCCAUCGCUAAUUCCUGUUAUUUUAUAGUGUAAUAAGUUCUCCUUAUAUCAAGAGGAUUUAAAAAAAUUAUUUAUAUAUAAAGAAAUUGUUUGCACUAUUUAGACAUUAAAAUUUUGUGAUAAAGAGCAUUCAAUUGAACCACUUCCUUUUAAUAUAGUUUUGUCUCUGAUUAGUGCAUCUUAACUCAUUAUAACAUGUCAUUUACUUUAUUUUCUGUAUUAUUAAUUCAGGCAUAUUAUAGAGAAUCAUACAUCUUAACCUGAUGCUCUAAAAAAUUAGAAACUAUCCACGCAAAAAAAUUAAACUACCAAGGCAUAUACUUAAGUUUUAUAUAGUACUGACUUUGUCAAUUCAAGAUUAAUACAAUUAGGUCAUUAGAAAUGUGAUUAUAAGUAACUGUCUAUAUUAAAUACUAUGAAUUAGUAGUCUGAAAAAAUGAUCCGAGGGUCUAUCGGAAACAGCCUCUCUAUCUCUAUAAGGUAGGGGUAAGGUCUGCGUAAACACUACCCUCCCAAGACCCCAUUUAUGGGAAUACGCUGGGUUUGUUGUUGUUGUUGUUGUUUAGUAGUCUGAAAAAUAAGCUAUGUAGUAACUUUGUAAAUUUGUAGCAAUCUGAAAAAUAUGGUAAGUAAUAACUUUGUAAAUUUGUACUGAUAUUAUAAAGAUAAUCUAUAGUGUCAAAUGUAUAAAUCAAUGUUUUGUACUAUAGCUAUUAGCUAGGUAUAUAGAUAAUCGAUGAUCAUUGAUGAUUAUACAUGUGAUAUUGUGCAUUAACUGCAGGAUGAUUGGAAGACGAUACUGAGUUUAGCAUUUCAGUCUGUAGGAGUUAUCUACGGAGACUUAGGGACUUCCCCUCUCUAUACUAUUCAAAGUACAUUUACUGAAAAAAUUGGAGAUAAGAAUGACAUUCUGGGCGUGUUGUCCCUCAUCAUAUAUACCAUAUUCCUCGUACCUAUGACUAAGUAUGUCUUCACUGUCUUAUGGGCAAACGACAAUGGCAAUGGUGAGUUAUAAGAUGUCCCUCACUGCUAUCUCAGUAGUAGUUUAAUUUUUCUGUCCCAUUUUAUGAACGCUAUCAUUAUAUGGAGAGUCAAACAGUUUGUCUUUGAUUAAAAUUGUCAAACUCUUCUUUAAUAUUUUGAAUUAGUAGUUAUGUUGUCUUACGACUAGCACUUUUGAAGUAGUUUCAUAUAUGUAAAUUUUAUUUCAAAAAAAUUGAAGAAUUUAUGCCCGAGCUCACACAAAAAAUUAAGUGCUAUGAUCGUUAACCCCAACAUGUUUAAUUAUUUGCUUCUUUUGCACACAGGGGGAGCAUUUGCGUUGUAUUCCUUAAUAUGUCGACAUGCAAAAGUGAGUCUCAUCCCAAACCAGGAGCCAGAGGAUAGAGAGCUUUCCCGCUACGGUCUGGACAUACCAUCAAAUCAAUUUAGAAGGGCUCAGAAUAUCAAACAUAAGUUGGAAAACACUAAAUUUGCAAGAUUGUUUCUUGUCUUCCUUGCGAUCCUUGGAACAUCGAUGGUCAUUGGCGAUGGAAUUAUCACUCCUUCCAUCUCAGGUCUCUAAAUAUCAAUAUACACUCUCUAUCCCAUCCCUUGAUCAUCAUAUCAAACUAGUACUGCCGAAAUUAGCUCAUAAAGAUAUAAACUGUCCAACCUGCUGAGUAUAUUUAAAUGACGAGUCAAUUUGGGCACAUCCCAAGUCAGCGCAUCUAAAGGUUGGGCUGGUCUUGAGGUAUAAAUAUGUAACCCAAAUUGAGCCAUAAUAUCACUUAUCAAAAGACUUCUAAAUUUUUUUUAAUUAGAUAUGUAAGAUAUAGUCAUACUCCCUCAGUUCUAUAUACACUACUAACAACAACAACGACCUAGUAAAAUCCCACAAUUGGGGUCUGGGCAGAGCAGUGUGUACGCACACCUUACCCAUUAUACACUAACAAUAAAAGAAUUUUUGUACUAUCAAGUCACCCAAAAGAAAACUAUAAGUAAUUGUCAAUAAUAAGUAGUACAAAUAAAAAAGACGGAAAACCUGCUACAACAGAAAAAAUAACACAAAUAAUAAUUAUAUAAGAUAAAUCAUUAUUUAAUCUGGUGUGUUUCAUGUGCAGUUCUCUCUGCCGUAAGUGGGAUCAAGCCUCUAGGCCAAGGUAUAGAAAUUAAAAGGAUGCUAAUGAAUUCUUCUUUUUCUCUUAUUCAAUUUCAAUGAUCAAACAACUGAAAAAAAUGGAUAAUGAUCCUUGCAGAAGCGAUUGUGGGUGUUUCCGUUGCAAUACUGGUAGCCCUCUUCUGUUUUCAACGUUUUGGUACAGACAAAGUGGGAUACUCAUUUGCUCCAGCCAUAUGCAUUUGGUUUUGUUUAAUAAGUGGUACCGGUAUGUACAACUUGUUCAAGCAUGAUGUGAGUGUCUUACGUGCCUUUAAUCCCAAAUACAUUUUUAACUACUUCAAAAGAAAUGGUAAAAAAGGAUGGCUUUCUCUUGGUGGAGUUAUCCUCUGCAUUACAGGUUAGAAUUUUAUUUACAGUAUCCGUAUAAUUAAACGGUUAUACCAUGCUACUUCACGUCUGUGUUCUUAUCUGGUGAAAGACUAUUUUAUGAAACUAUUACAGGAUCCGAAGCUAUGUUUGCUGAUUUGGGUCACUUUAGUGUGCGGUCUGUUCAAGUAAGUCUUCUGCAUUUUUUAUUUUCUUCUUUGCCCUAAGUAAUCAAAAAGAUGUACUUCCUCUUCCCUUUUUAUGUGGCACACUUUUCGUUUUAAAUUGUCCUUUAUUAUAUUUGAUAUUUGUUUCUAGUUUUUGGUCAAUCUAAGUGAACUCACCAUGUAUAUAUAUUGCAGAUAAGCUUCAGUUGCUUAGUAUUUCCAUCUAUCCUCUCUGCUUAUAUUGGGCAAGCUGCUUACCUUACAAAAUUCCCAGAAAAUGUGGGGAAUGCUUUUUAUGCCUCUGUUCCAGGCAAGUCUCCUAUAUAUAUGUGGCAAAUUUGUUAACUUUUUCCAUAUUCGUUAUAUAGAUAUUGAGGCCUUUUGGGUUAAAGCCCAAUGGGAAAACACUGUGAGGCACCAAAGAUCGGACCAAAGUGGACAAUAUUUUGGCAGUUGAGCCUGGGUCGUGAAAGAUAAACUAAUCAUAAAAUUAUUUACUUUAUAAAUACCAUGCAUAAUAUUGAUUUUGUUGGUGUUGCUUACAGAUCCACUUUACUGGCCAACAUUUGUAGUGGCUGUUGUUGCGGCCAUUAUUGCAAGUCAAGCAAUGAUAUCUGGAGCUUUUUCUAUUGUGGCUCAGGCCCAAAGUCUAGGUUGUUUCCCAAGGGUGAAGGUAAUUCACACAUCUGCAAAGCACGAGGGUCAGGUUUACAUUCCCGAGUUGAAUUACUUCCUCAUGGUUGCAUGUGUUGUAGUUACUCUCAGCUUCAAAACCACAGGAAAUUUGGGGAAUGCUUAUGGAAUUUGUGUGGUUAGUGCUGAGCUCAUAACCACAAAUAUGGUGACAUUAGUAAUGCUUCUUAUAUGGAAAAUUAGCAUAUGGCGGAUUAUCUUAUUCUACGUGGUGUACGUUACCAUAGAAUCUACAUAUCUAUCCGCUCAGCUGACAAAGUUCGUGCAAGGUGGUUUUCUACCUUUGGCUUUCUCAUUUGUGCUCGUGAUCAUUAUGGGGAUUUGGCACUAUGUUCAAAAACAUAGAUAUGAAUUCGAGCUCAAGAACAAGGUUUCAAGUGACUACAUUACGGACUUAGCCAAAAAUCCAGACAUCAAAAGAGUACCUGGAAUAGGACUACUCUACUCUGAAUUAGUACAGGGGAUUCCACCAAUAUUUCCCCACUUUGUCUCCAAUAUUCCGUCGGUCCAUUCUAUUAUAGUUCUGGUGUCAAUUAAAUCCAUUCCUAUAAACAAAGUAGCGCUGGAGGAACGGUUCUUGUUCAGACAUGUUCAGCCUAGAGAAUACAAGGUGUUCCGAUGUGUAGUUAGGUUAGGGUACAAUGAUCAACUUGGGAAACCAGAGGAAUUUGAAAACCAAUUGGUGGAACAUUUGAAAGAGUUCAUUCGAGAUGAAUACUAUAUUCUUGCAGCACAUGCUGAUCAAGUUGCAGAUAGAGAAAUUGAACCUGCAGUAUCUGGCCAACUAGUGGCUGGAAAUUCAUCCCGGGUCUACACGGAGGAAGAGCUGGAGCAACAAGUAGAUUCUAGAGUUUCAUCAGCUGGUUCGAUUCGAUCAAUGAACACUUCAGCAGCUCAGUCGAAUCAUUCAUCAAAUAGAAUACAAAUGGUCCCACCAAGUUUGGAAGAAGUAGAAGUGAUGCAGUUUGUGGAAAAAGCAAAGGAGCAAGGAGUGUUCUAUCUCCUGGGAGAAGCAGAGGUGGUCACUAAACAAGAUUCUUCAUUCUUGAAGAAAUUUGUUGUCAACUAUGCCUAUAAUUUCUUGCGCAAGAACUUCAGGCAAGGGGAGAAAGUUAUGGCCAUUCCCAGGACUAGGCUGCUAAGGGUCGGCAUGACUUAUGAAUUAUAAUUGUGACGUAUCAGACAGUAAUAAACUUACUACCAAAUACUCUCAUAACAAACAAACAGAGCAAAAGAUCUCUGCAUUUUUCCUAAAACUUUAUUUUUAUCCUUUAAUACUGUGUGCAAGCUUUCAAUUUGAGUUAAUGUACUAUUAAAACCUGUUUGGAAAUGUUUACUCCCUCUAUCCUCUCUAUCCCAUGUUCUAACUUUGUUUGCCCCUAUUAAUAUUGAUGACUUUCUACUAUUAAAAAACACUCCUUAAAUAGCUCUAAUUUGGAAGAAGUCUAGUCUAGUACUUCGGUAUGACCUUCCUAUAUGUAUGUAAUAAGUAUAAUUUCAACAGAUUAAUGAGUAAACGUAGAAAUUCACGCUGAAAACAUAUAUUGACCAAGGUGUUUCGACCUUGAAGUAGAAUGAGAAACAAGAAAAGGAACAAAAUUAGUCUGAUCAGCUUCUCUUCCCGAUAGAGCCUUAUCCCCACCAAUAAGAUUUGAUCAGCAUAUAUAACACUAAAUUUGUAUCUGUCCUGAACCAUUUACAUUCAGCAGAGCAAACAUUGGACUAAAAUCUUGGAGAGUUCAUGCUAAUAGCAUGAAGCACAAUACUACAAUAUUGCAUUUCAUUUUCAAAAAAUAUUUUCUGAACCAUAGAAAACUAGAAGAACAUCAGUAACAAGGUAAUACCUGGAUUUUUGAGCUGUCAAAUAUAAAACCAUUUAGGGCAUAUGUUUUGCCACUGAAAAGUACACAAAAGCAAAUUGACCAUGAGUCCAUGAUUUACCAAACGAACUACACAGAUCUGAACAGAAAAAGAAAGCAUACGAAAGAGAGCAUUAGCAAGUCAAAAUUAACUCCGAAAGAAGCACUUCAUGAAACAUCCCAAAAUAUACUCCAAUUGAUUUAUUACACUUAUUAUCAGGACAAUCAACACAUAGUUCCUUAAUUCCCUAUUACAUUUCAUGAUUACAACAAAUAAAAAAAAAAUUUAAAAAAAGUAGCAUUGUGUAAAGGAAUCAGUACAAAGUUCACCUACAAAAUAAAGAGAAGAAAGCAAACAAUCUCUAACGAGCAAAGUCACAGAGACUUACCGGUAGAACGACGGUUGCGAAAGGAAGGAGAAGCGGAGAGGCAAGUCUAGCCUCUUUCCAGUCACUGAUCAGCAUGGGCGAAGUAGCCGUCGAUCGAGAGAAAAAAUGACAAAGGCUAAUUGGUUUUUAAUUUGGGUUG
rnacentral:lncRNA from 1 species